GUGCCAGUCCGCCGCGGUAAUACCGGCAGCCCAAGUGAUGGCCGAUCUUAUUGGGCCUAAAGCGUCCGUAGCUGGCCUCGCAAGUCCGUCGGGAAAUCCAUCAGCCCAACUGGUGGGCGUCCGGCGGAAACUACAAGGCUUGGGACCGGAAGGCUCGAGGGGUACGUCCGGGGUAGGAGUGAAAUCCCGUAAUCCCGAACGGACCACCGAUGGCGAAAGCACCUCGAGAAAACGGAUCCGACAGUGAGGGACGAAAGCCAGGGUCUCCAACCGGAUUAGAUACCCCGGUAGUCC
rnacentral:rRNA from 1 species